rnacentral:rRNA from 1 species
GAUGAACGCUGGCGGCGUGCCUAACACAUGCAAGUCGAGCGGAGAUGAUGAAGUUUCGAUGGAUUCAUCUUAGCGGCGGACGGGUGAGUAACACGUGAGUAACCUGCCUUCUUCUGGGGAAUAACACAGAGAAAUUUGUGCUAAUACCGCAUAAAGUCACGACUGGGCAUCCAGAUGUGACCAAAGGAUUUAUUCGGGGGAAGAUGGAAUAGCGUCCGAUUAGGUAGUUGGUGAGGUAACGGCUCACCAAGCCGACGAUCGGUAGCCGAACUGAGAGGUUGAUCGGCCACAUUGGGACUGAGACACGGCCCAGACUCCUACGGGAGGCAGCAGUGGGGAAUAUUGGGCAAUGGGGGAAACCCUGACCCAGCAACGCCGCGUGAAGGACGAAGGCCUCGGGUUGUAAACUUCUUUGAUCAGGGACGAAACAAAUGACGGUACCUGAAGAACAAGCCACGGCUAACUACGUGCCAGCAGCCGCAGUAAUAC